GUUUUCUUUACUUAUUGACAGUGGAUGCGCCAUUAAGUUUCCUAGGUAUUGUAUCAUUUUUACGUCGCCCUUACACCCGUAUCGUGACGUCCGGUGUAGUGACAUUCUCAAGUUGCCAAUCUUCCAUCUUUUGGGUUGAGAAACUGCUUUAUCUGAGACUGAGAAUCUUUGUACAAAUUUUUAUUUCUCAGUCUUGCAUUUGAAAAUCAACCUUCCCUAGCCGUAAAGUUGACAUCAUCUAUAAUCUAAGAAAAAUGAUUACCGAUAUACAGUUGGCAAUCUUCUCAAACAUCCUGGGAGUUACACUAUUUGUUCUAGUAGCUGUUUAUCAUUAUGUAUCUGUGCAUCAUCCAAAACAAUCUGAUUAAUUUCAAG